rnacentral:rRNA from 1 species
UACGUAGGGAGCAAGCGUUGUCCGGAAUUACUGGGUGUAAAGGGAGCGUAGGCGGGAUAGUAAGUUAGAAGUGAAAUACCUAGAGCCUAACUCAGGUGCUGCUUCUAAAACUGCUAUACUUGAGUGCAGUAGAGGAAAGUGGAAUUCCUAGUGUAGCGGUGGAAUGCGUAGAUAUUAGGAGGAACAUCAGUGGCGAAGGCGACUUUCUGGACUGUAACUGACGCUGAGGCACGAAAGUGUGGGGAGCAAACAGG